UAGCCUAGUGGUUAAGGCUGUGGAUCGCCAAUCCGGAGACUGCGGGUUCGAUUCCCGU
rnacentral:tRNA from 1 species